rnacentral:rRNA from 1 species
AAUGAACGCUAGCGGCAGGCUUAACACAUGCAAGUCGAGGGGCAGCGCGGGAUAGCAAUAUCCUGGCGGCGACCGGCGGAAGGGUGCGUAACGCGUGAGCGACAUGCCCGUUGCCCGGGGACAACCGGUGGAAACGCCGACUAAUCCCCGAUGGGAUAUUGUGCCGCAUGGCACGAUAUUGAAAGUUACGGCGGCGACGGAUUGGCUCGCGUCCGAUUAGCUGGUUGGCGGGGUAACGGCCCACCAAGGCUGCGAUCGGUAGGGGUUCUGAGAGGAAGGCCCCCCACAAUGGGACUGAGACACGGCCCAUACUCCUACGGGAGGCAGCAGUGAGGAAUAUUGGUCAAUGGGCGGAAGCCUGAACCAGCCAUGCCGCGUGCGGGAAGGAGGCCCUAUGGGCUGUGAACCGCUUUUGCCUGGGGGCAAUAAGGGCGUCGCGCACGUCCGAUGAGAGUACCAGGCGAAUAAGCAUCGGCCAACUCCGUG